ensembl:lncRNA
GGGACACCCUGGCCUCCAGGGAUCAUGUCCAGUCCAGACCAGGCGGCCGGGUCUGUGGGGAGGAGCCAGCACCAUCCUUGCCCACAAGCCCUGGCCGGGCGCUAGGCAGAGGCAGGUGGGGUCUAGGCACAUUCUUGGGGUGGGGUGGGCCGAGGGUCUGCCUCCCCACUGCCCAGCCCGCUGCCCACAGGUGUCCUCUCCACUGAAAAGGGAAGUGAGAAUCUCGGCCACACGGUGUCAUCCCCAGGGCAGCAGCCUGAGACCCAGCAACCCUGCCCAGCAGCCCUGACUGAGCUGGCCCAGCCCUCUGGGCAGCUGUGGGGACACCCAGCAGGCCCCACAGGGAUGGCUCUUGGGAGGGGAAGGAGCCCCUGGGAACAGUGAGCGGUGAGCGUCGCUUCAGAAACCAUGAGUGCACAGCAGGGUGCCUUCCAGACAUUCUUCCAGCAGGGCAACUGGGCUGACAGCUCCUGCACUCUGGAGGGUGGGGGGGUGGCGCUCGGCUGCCCUGCGGGGAAGUCCACUGGGCAAGACCCUGGUGGUCAGCAUGGGUUCCCUGCCCCACGUCUCCGCCCACAGGGGAUGCUACACAUGAGGACUGCUUCCUGCAAGUCCUUCCUUCUGCCCCAAAUGGUCCUGGACACUAGCCCCAAGCCCUGGUGUCCUCGCUGUGGUGGGGCGGACGGCAGCCCAGGACCAAAAUAUGCAGCUUUGCCCCUGUGGCACCCACAGAGCUCUAGGGACACAGAGGCGGGGCCGUGCCCAGCUGCUCAGCCUCAAGCAAACCAAGGCACAGACCAGAGCCCAGGACAGGUGCUCAUCAUGACAGGAGGACACGUCGGUAGGACAGGAGGACGCCCCGACCAGAGAGGAGGAUGCCUCGGCCAGACGGGAGGACACCACAGUUGGGACAUCCCUGGGGAGCAUGGAGCUUCGAGGUGGUGCCAGGUGUCCACGGAGCCAUAUCACCCGUGGACCUUGGUGGCCGGGCGAGCGUCAUCUGCCAGCUUUCCACUCCACCUCACAGCAACGCUGCCCCUCGUCCACCUGAACCUCAUGGGUGCAUCAGCACUGCAUGAAGAGCUGCGUCGGUCUUGCAAGGUUUCCAGAACAUCAGGCCAGGAUUGCCCACUGCCAAAAGCAGGGCCUCAGGACCACCCUGCCCGCUCCUGGCACACGGCUCCUCAGUGAGGAAGCUAAAGAUGCACAAAGUGCAGACAGACGGACAGAUGGAUGCUCCCCCCUCCCCCCCAAAGCAAGCUUUCCUAGGGGAAGAGCAUCUGAUCUCAGGUCAGAAGCCAGAAAACAGUCAUUGUCAUGAUGGAGGGUCCUGAGGGGGCAACCAGAAGGGACAGUUAGGAGAUGGGGGACAGCAGGCUCCAGCCUUCCUGUAGGAGGGGGAGGUGGGCGGCGUCCUGGGGGAGGGAGGAUCCUUGCAGAUCCUCAAGGAGGAGGGAGACUGGGCCACUCAGAGGGCGACAGACAAGGAUCUUCUUCUGUGUGUUUAGAAAUAUCAAGGUCACGUGCCAUGUGUCAGAGAAAUGAUGGAGAGAAACAUGCUGAGGAUGACACUCGUCCGGCGUACACAGCUUCCACAUGGAUGGACAUGUGUAUGUUGGCAGCGCAACAGAAAAAGUAUAUAUUUAGCAACAGAAAAAGGUAUAAACAUGAAACCCACAAACAUAUGAACUUAAAUCCUG